CCGGGAGGUUCAUAAGCAGCUCCAGCUGAAACCACCCGAGUCUCCGAAUCUCCCUCCAGCUCUGGAAGUUUUGAUGAGUUAUCCAUGAAUCAGAUGAGCAGAACUGUAUUUUGAUGAUGUUACUUGAACUGCAAAUGAUCCAGUGUCCUGGAGCCAAACUUGCAGUGUCUUCAAGGUCUGCCUGUGUACAGUAAGAAGUGUUUGGACAUUCACCACUAUCAAGAUACUGCAGCAGUGCCAUUCACAGCCUGGGGUAAAGAGGAAUCACCGUAUGUUGAAUAUGGGGAAAAGGAAAACUGAGU
rnacentral:lncRNA from 1 species